UGGGGAAUUUUGGACAAUGGGCGAAAGCCUGAUCCAGCAAUGCCGCGUGUGUGAAGAAGGCCUUCGGGUUGUAAAGCACUUUUGUCCGGAAAGAAAUCCUUGGCUCUAAUACAGUCGGGGGAUGACGGUACCGGAAGAAUAAGCACCGGCUAACUACGUGCCAGCAGCCGCGGUAAUACGUAGGGUGCAAGCGUUAAUCGGAAUUACUGGGCGUAAAGCGUGCGCAGGCGGUUUGCUAAGACCGAUGUGAAAUCCCCGGGCUCAACCUGGGAACUGCAUUGGUGACUGGCAGGCUAGAGUAUGGCAGAGGGGGGUAGAAUUCCACGUGUAGCAGUGAAAUGCGUAGAGAUGUGGAGGAAUACCGAUGGCGAAGGCAGCCCCCUGGGCCAAUACUGACGCUCAUGCACGAAAGCGUGGGGAGCAAACAGGAUUAGAUACCCUGGUAGUCCACGCCCUAAACGAUGUCAACUAGUUGUGGGGAUUCAUUCUUAGUAACGUAGCUAACGCGUGAAGUUGACCGCCUGGGGAGUACGGUCGCAAGAUUAAAACUUAAAUGAAUUGACGGGGUCAUAGCUG
rnacentral:rRNA from 1 species